UGUAACGAAGGCCCGCCCCCGCUGGUUGUUUCCACCUGAAGAAAAAACAAAUGAUCUGCUCGGACUUUGUUUUUUUUGUUUGUUUUGUUUUGUUUUUUUUGGGGGGGGGGGGGCAGAUAUUUUGACUUUCUUAGAUUGUAACGAAGCCCCGCCCCCUCUGGUUGUUUCCACCUGAAGACAACCAAAUGAUCUGAUCGGACUUUGGCUCAUAAUCACCUCAGGACUUCUGCCUCUAAACCCACAACUUGUCGGGGCAAUUUUUUUCCUGUGCAACUAUGCAACGUGUCUGUGUUGCGUUGCCGUGCAGCUGCAGACACUUCCCCGGGUAUUGAAUCUGUUUAAUCAGUCUCAGAAACAGCCGUCGGUCCUGCCAGUUUUAUACUAAAAUUGUGAAAGCGACGGCAUGUGUCAUCGCUUUUUAACGAAGAAUACAAAAAGUGCACACCACUGCCAAGAUACUCCAAAAAAGACUGGAUUGUUUCUGUUUGCUGAAUGCUUUCUUGCACAGAUGUGAAUAGCGAGUAACCAAAUAAAAAAGACUUAGACGAAA